rnacentral:rRNA from 1 species
AUUGAACGCUGGCGGCAUGGCUAAAACAUGCAAGUCGAACGCGAAAGGGGGCAACCCCGAGUAGAGUGGCGAAAGGGACGAGGAAUACAUUUCUACGUACCUCAAGGUCGAGGAUAAUCAGGGGAAACUCUGACUAAUACUCGAUGAUAUGGCUGAUGAAUAGUUAGCCAUCAAAGGCUUGCUGCCUUGAGAGCGGGGAAUGUCCUAUCAGGUAGUUGGUGAGGUAACGGCUCACCAAGCCGAAGACGGGUAGCGGGUGUGAGAGCACGGCCCGCCGCAUCGGGACUGAGACACUGCCCGGACUCCUACGGGAGGCUGCAGUAACGAAUCUUCCGCAAUGCGCGAAAGCGUGACGGGGCAAUGCCGCGUGCAGGAUGAAGCCCCUCGGGGUGUAAACUGCUGUCAGGGUUUAGGAAGCAAAUGACCAGACCCAAAGGAAGAGCCGGCUAACUCUGUGCCAGCA